GGCGGCAUGUGUCAUACACAGAGGCCCAUACUCCAUAAGAGAUGUCACAUCUGGAAUGAGUCUAAAGUAAAAAAAUUACAG